rnacentral:lncRNA from 1 species
GCUGAAAUUUGUCUUCCUUGGAGUCGGGUUUCCCGCUCUAGUGGAACUAGAUGGGUGUUGCCUCCUCCAAGAUGCAUAAGGAGUUCGCAAAGGGAAUUGGAACGGCCUUGACCCUGUCCAUGAACUCAAUACCCAAGGCGAGUGGAUAAUCAUCCAUGGUCACGAUCGAGAAGUUUAUGUGGCCGUGCCAAUUGCCUAAGU